rnacentral:rRNA from 1 species
ACGAACGCUGGCGGCGUGGAUAAGACAUGCAAGUCGAACGAGAGAAUUGCUAGCUUGCUAAUAAUUCUCUAGUGGCGCACGGGUGAGUAACACGUGAGUAACCUGCCCCCGAGAGCGGGAUAGCCCUGGGAAACUGGGAUUAAUACCGCAUAGUAUCGAAAGAUUAAAGCAGCAAUGCGCUUGGGGAUGGGCUCGCGGCCUAUUAGUUAGUUGGUGAGGUAACGGCUCACCAAGGCGAUGACGGGUAGCCGGUCUGAGAGGAUGUCCGGCCACACUGGAACUGAGACACGGUCCAGACACCUACGGGUGGCAGCAGUCGAGAAUCAUUCACAAUGGGGGAAACCCUGAUGGUGUGACGCCGCGUGGGGGAAUGAAGGUCUUCGGAUUGUAAACCCCUGUCAUGUGGGAGCAAAUUAAAAAGAUAGUACCACAAGAGGAAGAGACGGCUAACUCUGUGCCAGCAGCCGCGGUAAUACAGAGGUCUCAAGCGUUGUUCGGAAUCACUGGGCGUAAAGCGUGCGUAGGCUGUUUCGUAAGUCGUGUGUGAAAGGCGCGGGCUCAACCCGCGGACGGCACAUGAUACUGCGAGACUAGAGUAAUGGAGGGGGAACCGGAAUUCUCGGUGUAGCAGUGAAAUGCGUAGAUAUCGAGAGGAACACUCGUGGCGAAGGCGGGUUCCUGGACAUUAACUGACGCUGAGGCACGAAGGCCAGGGGAGCGAAAGGGAUUAGAUACCCCUGUAGUCCUGGCAGUAAACGGUGCACGCUUGGUGUGCGGGGAAUCGACCCCCUGCGUGCCGGAGCUAACGCGUUAAGCGUGCCGCCUGGGGAGUACGGUCGCAAGAUUAAAACUCAAAGAAAUUGACGGGGACCCGCACAAGCGGUGGAGUAUGUGGCUUAAUUCGAUGCAACGCGAAGAACCUUACCUGGGCUUGACAUGUAAUGAACAACAUGUGAAAGCAUGCGACUCUUCGGAGGCGUUACACAGGUGCUGCAUGGCCGUCGUCAGCUCGUGUCGUGAGAUGUUUGGUUAAGUCCAGCAACGAGCGCGACCCCUGUUGCCAGUUACCAGCACGUGAAGGUGGGGACUCUGGCGAGACUGCCCAGAUCAACUGGGAGGAAGGUGGGGACGACGUCAGGUCAGUAUGGCCCUUAUGCCCAGGGCUGCACACGUACUACAAUGCCCAGUACAGAGGGGGCCGAAGCCGCGAGGCGGAGGAAAUCCUGAAAACUGGGCCCAGUUCGGACUGUAGGCUGCAACCCGCCUACACGAAGCCGGAAUCGCUAGUAAUGGCGCAUCAGCUACGGCGCCGUGAAUACGUUCCCGGGUCUUGUACACACCGCCCGUCACAUCAUGGAAGCCGGUCGCACCCGAAGUAUCUGAAGCCAACCGCAAGGAGGCAGGGUCCUAAGGUGAGACUGGUAACUGGGAUG